rnacentral:rRNA from 1 species
UGCAGUCGAGCGGAACGAGUUAACUGAACCUUCGGGGGACGUUAACGGCGUCGAGCGGCGGACGGGUGAGUAAUGCCUAGGAAAUUGCCCUGAUGUGGGGGAUAACCAUUGGAAACGAUGGCUAAUACCGCAUGAUGCCUACGGGCCAAAGAGGGGGACCUUCGGGCCUCUCGCGUCAGGAUAUGCCUAGGUGGGAUUAGCUAGUUGGUGAGGUAAGGGCUCACCAAGGCGACGAUCCCUAGCUGGUCUGAGAGGGUGAUCAGCCACACUGGAACUGAGACACGGUCCAGACUCCUACGGGAGGCAGCAGUGGGGAAUAUUGCACAAUGGGCGCAAGCCUGAUGCAGCCAUGCCGCGUGUGUGAAGAAGGCCUUCGGGUUGUAAAGCACUUUCAGUCGUGAGGAAGGUUUAUGCGUUAAUAGCGUAUAUAUUUGACGUUAGCGACAGAAGAAGCACCGGCUAACUCCGUGCCAGCAGCCGCGGUAAUACGGAGGGUGCGAGCGUUAAUCGGAAUUACUGGGCGUAAAGCGCAUGCAGGUGGUUUGUUAAGUCAGAUGUGAAAGCCCGGGGCUCAACCUCGGAAUAGCAUUUGAAACUGGCAGACUAGAGUACUGUAGAGGGGGGUAGAAUUUCAGGUGUAGCGGUGAAAUGCGUAGAGAUCUGAGGGAAUACCGGUGGCGAACGCCGCCCCCCUGGACAGAUACUGACACUC